rnacentral:rRNA from 1 species
CACGUAGGGCGCGAGCGUUGUCCGGAAUUAUUGGGCGUAAAGAGCUCGUAGGCGGCCUGUUGCGUCCGCUGUGAAAGCCCGGGGCUUAACCCCGGGUCUGCAGUGGAUACGGGCAGGCUAGAGGUAGGUAGGGGAGACUGGAAUUCCUGGUGUAGCGGUGAAAUGCGUAGAUAUCAGGAGGAACACCGGUGGUGUAGACGGCUUUCUGGACCGUAACUGACGCUGAGACACGAAAGCGUGGGUAGCAAACAGG